UUUAGAGUUAGCUGAAUUUGAAAUUGAGUCAAAUGAACAGAAAAAUAACAUAGCAAAUAGCAAGAGUUUAUCGAGGAACACUUUAGAGCCCAGCCCAAGUUUUAAAUGUGGAAGAAAUUCUUUUAUUUUCCCCUUCUCAAUUUCUUUCCCAAUUAAUUGUGUGGCUAUGAUCCAGGAGGCAGGAGCUGUUGGAUGCAGAUUGUCACGUGUAUUUUGUUGCUGAUGACACGUUUCCCAAUGCUACCUUUAUUUGUCCUCUCAAGUCUCAAUGCCCCAACCUUUCACAUAAUUGUAUGACUCAUCAUCAAAUGAUAAUUAAUAACCACCACUACCACACAGACAAUCCUCAGAUAAAUAAAAUAGCACUAGCAAACAGAAUCAGUAUCUUCCAUUUCUUGAAUAUUCAUCAUCGUCUCCCUUCUUUCUGCAACUCAGUUUGCUCUACUAGUCUGAGUGAUGAAAGCUCUGGUAAAUUCCUCUUCUUGGUACAAGAUCGCAUUCCAAAGAAAUGGUGAUUACCGAGCAUUUAAUCCCACUACACAUGAAAUUAGUUCUUUCCGAUCCAAGAAGUUUCUUAAUGUUGGGUUUCGUAUCUGCUUUAAACACAAGCCUCUCCGCCCAAUUUCUGCAUCUACUCGUCCUUCUCUAUCAGCAGACUCCAAGGCAUGUUCUCUUUGCUUUUUGCUUAGAUGUCGAUUUUGAUCGGAUGCUAGCUUUUUCAUUUUGUCAGUUUUCAGCAACUUAAUCUUUAUCUAUGUAUAUCUUUUUUACUGAGAACUGAGCCUAAUCUGUGAAUUUGUUUUGAUUUCUUCUGCUAGACGGACUUGGAGUUGGAGGAAGCAAAGACCAAAACCCGAGAAACACGUAAGUCGCUUCCAUUCUUCGUCUUGCCUUUUCUCCUGUUGUUGACAAUCUUUGGACAAUUCUUAAUUAGUCUGAAUAUGGAGCUUCUCAUCAAUGUGCAGACCAAUCAAACACGGUUGAUGUCAAAUUCCACCUAAAGAAAGAGUGUUCUUUUGGUGAGCAAUUUGCUCUAGUA
rnacentral:misc_RNA from 1 species